rnacentral:rRNA from 1 species
CCUACGGGCGGCAGCAGUGGGGAAUAUUGCACAAUGGGGGAAACCCUGAUGCAGCAACGCCGCGUGAGUGAAGAAGUAUUUCGGUAUGUAAAGCUCUAUCAGCAGGGAAGAAGAUGACGGUACCUGAAUAAGAAGCCCCGGCUAACUACGUGCCAGCAGCCGCGGUAAUACGUAGGUGGCAAGCGUUGUCCGGAUUUACUGGGUGUAAAGGGGGUGCAGCCGGGAAGACAAGUCAGAUGUGAAAUCCACGGGCUCAACCCGUGAACUGCAUUUGAAACUGUUUCCCUUGAGUGUCGGAGAGGUAAUCGGAAUUCCUGGUGUAGCGGUGAAAUGCGUAGAUAUAAGGAAGAACACCAGUGGCGAAGGCGGAUUACUGGCCGAUAACUGACGGUGAGGCGCGAAAGCGUGGGGAGCGAACAGGAUUAGAUACCCUGGUAGUC